CAUUGUCCCCAUCCUCUUCUGCAGGCCAAAAUGAGAUAUCCUGAAGGAGGCUCCCUAUCCUGCCUUUUAUGUCAUAUCGGUGUUCAAAUGUUUGUAUUCUUCCUUUGUCCAACUUCCCACUGGUCGUCUCUUGAUGAGGAACCUCGUGAGCAUUUUUCCGUGAAAGCGAAGAAC